CCUACGGGAGGCUGCAGUGGGGAAUAUUGCACAAUGGGGGAAACCCUGAUGCAGCGACGCCGCGUGAGUGAAGAAGUAAUUCGUUUUGUAAAGCUCUAUCAUCAGGGAAGAAUAUGACGGUACCUGAGUAAGAAGCCCCGGCCAACCACGUGCCAGCAGCCGCGGUAAUACGUUGGGGGCAAGCGUUAUCCGGAUUUACUGGGUGUAAAGGGAGCGUAGGCGGCAAUGCAAGUCUGGAGUGAAAGGCGGGGGCUCAACCCCCGGACUGCUCUGGAAACUGUACGGCUGGAGUGCAGGAGAGGUAGGUGGAAUUCCUAGGGUAGCGGUGAAAUGCGUAGAUAUUAGGAGGAACACCAGUGGCGAAGGCGGCUUACUGGACUGUAACUGACGUUGAGGCGCGAAAGCGUGGGGAGCAAACAGGAUUAGAUACCCGGGUAGUC
rnacentral:rRNA from 1 species